rnacentral:tRNA from 1 species
AAAAGAUUAGUUAAAAUAUAAUACAAAAUUGUCGGUUUUGUGUCACUAAUAAAAUUUAGUAUCUUUUG